CCUACGGGAGGCAGCAGUGAGGAAUAUUGGUCAAUGGACGGAAGUCUGAACCAGCCAUGCCGCGUGCAGGAAGACGGCUCUAUGAGUUGUAAACUGCUUUUGUACAAGGGUAAACCUGAAUACGUGUAUUUAUCUGAAAGUACCGUACGAAUAAGGAUCGGCUAACUCCGUGCCAGCAGCCGCGGUAAUACGGAGGAUCCAAGCGUUAUCCGGCUUUAUUGGGUUUAAAGGGUGCGUAGGCGGACUGAUAAGUUAGAGGUGAAAUGUCCAGGCUUAACUCGGGAAUUGCCUCUGAUACUGUUGGUCUAGAGAGUAGAUGCGGUAGGCGGAAUGUAUGGUGUAGCGAUGAAAUGCUUAGAGAUCAUACAGAACACCGAUUGCGAAGGCAGCUUACCAAUCUAUAUCUGACGUUGAGGCACGAAAGCGUGGGGAGCAAACAGGAUUAGAUACCCUUGUAGUC
rnacentral:rRNA from 1 species